rnacentral:rRNA from 1 species
GACGAACGCUGGCGGCGUGCUUAACACAUGCAAGUCGAACGGUAAGGCCCUUCGGGGUACACGAGUGGCGAACGGGUGAGUAACACGUGGGUGAUCUGCCCUGCACUUCGGGAUAAGCCUGGGAAACUGGGUCUAAUACCGGAUAGGACCACUGCCUGCAGGGGUGGUGGGGGAAAGCUUUUGCGGUGUGGGAUGGGCCCGCGGCCUAUCAGCUUGUUGGUGGGGUGAUGGCCUACCAAGGCGACGACGGGUAGCCGGCCUGAGAGGGUGACCGGCCACACUGGGACUGAGAUACGGCCCAGACUCCUACGGGAGGCAGCAGUGGGGAAUAUUGCACAAUGGGCGCAAGCCUGAUGCAGCGACGCCGCGUGAGGGAUGACGGCCUUCGGGUUGUAAACCUCUUUCAGCACCGACGAAGCGCAAGUGACGGUAGGUGCAGAAGAAGGACCGGCCAACUACGUGCCAGCCGCCGCAGUAA